AUACGGAGGGUGCGAGCGUUAAUCGGAAUUACUGGGCGUAAAGGGUGCGUAGGCGGUUUGAUAAGUCGGAUGUGAAAGCCCCGGGCUUAACCUGGGAAUGGCAUUCGAUACUGUCAGGCUAGAGUAUGUCAGAGGUUGGCGGAAUUCCUGGUGUAGCGGUGAAAUGCGUAGAUAUCAGGAGGAACACCAGUGGCGAAGGCGGCUAACUGGGGCAAUACUGACGCUGAGGCACGAAAGCGUGGGGAGCAAACAGGAUUAGAAACCCUUGUAGUCC
rnacentral:rRNA from 1 species